CCGCGGCCCAUCAGGUAGUCGGUGGGGUAAUGGCCUACCGAGCCGAUGACGGGUAGCUGGUCUGUGAGGACAGACAGCCAGACUGGGACUGAGACACGGCCCAGACUCCUACGGGAGGCAGCAGCAAGGAAUUUUCGUCAAUGGGCGCAAGCCUGAACGAGCAACGCCGCGUGGAGGAUGACGGCCUUCGGGUUGUAAACUCCUUUUUCGGGGGACGAUAAUGACGGUACCCCGGGAAUAAGGCUCGGCUAACUCUGUGCCAGCAGCCGCGGUAAUACAGAGGAGCCAAGCGUUGUCCGGAUUGACUGGGCGUAAAGCGCACGCAGGCGGUCUGGCGCGUGGGGUGUGAAAUCUGGCCGCUUAACGGCCAGGCGCCAUCCCAUACGGCCGGACUGGAGGGCUGCAGAGGUCGAUGGAAUUGCCGGUGUAGUGGUGAAAUGCGUAGAGAUCGGCAGGAACACCCAGGGGGAAACCAGUCGACUGGGCAGCACCUGACGCUGAGGUGCGAGAGCGUGGGGAGCGAACCGGAUUAGAUACCCGGGUAGUCCACGCCGUAAACGAUGGCCACUCGGCCUUUGGCGACGGAAUCUCCGUCGGUGGGGGCCUUAGCUAACGCGGGAAGUGGCCCGCCUGGGAACUACGAGCGCAAGCUUAAAACUUAAAGGAAUUGACGG
rnacentral:rRNA from 1 species